CUGCUGCCUUCCGUAGGAGUCUGGUCCGUGUCUCAGUACCAGUGUGGGGGACCUUCCUCUCAGAACCCCUACGCAUCGUCGCCUUGGUGGGCGGUUACCCCGCCAACAAGCUAAUGCGACGCAUGACCAUCCGUAGCCGGAAUCGCUUCCUUUAAACCCACAGAGAUGCCUCCAUGGGUUGUUACGCGGUAUUAGACGGAAUUUCUUCCGCUUAUCCCCCUGCUACGGGCAGGUUUCAUACGUGUUACUCACCCGUGCGCCGGUCGCCGGG
rnacentral:rRNA from 1 species